rnacentral:tRNA from 1 species
AUUAUAUUAGCAAAUUAGUGCAUUAAAUUUAGAAUUUAAAUAAAUUAUAAAAAACUAUAAUAUAUAAUA